rnacentral:rRNA from 1 species
AGCUGAUCCAGCAUGCCGCGUGUGUGAGAAGGCCUUCGGGUUGUAAAGCACUUUUGUCCGGAAAGAAAUCCUUGGCUCUAAUACAGUCGGGGGAUGACGGUACCGGAAGAAUAAGCACCGGCUAACUACGUGCCAGCAGCCGCGGUAAUACGUAGGGUGCGAGCGUUAAUCGGAAUUACUGGGCGUAAAGCGUGCGCAGGCGGUUUGCUAAGACCGAUGUGAAAUCCCCGGGCUCAACCUGGGAACUGCAUUGGUGACUGGCAGGCUAGAGUAUGGCAGAGGGGGGUAGAAUUCCACGUGUAGCAGUGAAAUGCGUAGAGAUGUGGAGGAAUACCGAUGGCGAAGGCAGCCCCCUGGGCCAAUACUGACGCUCAUGCACGAAAGCGUGGGGAGCAAACAGGAUUAGAUACCCCUGUAGUCA